GCUUUUCUUGAUUAUUUUCGACAAUAUUUACAGACUGUAUAACUGCUGGAUAAGAUCUGCGUACUGCAAGGCAGUCAUUCCAAGUCUGAUCCUGCGUUUCAGAGAUUUUCUUAAGAAGACACCAUGCUUUAAUCAACAGUGUAGGGAACAGACUGCAAACAGGAGCUGUGCGUGAUGGAUGGCUUCUUGACAAUAUGAGCUGCCCACUCACUAUAAUUGACUGGGGAGAUCACACCUUCAGCUUCUAACUUAAACAGUUCCCUGUUGACCGUAUCUCUCAAAGCAUAAGGGAUGAAUAACUUAACUGGAGUGCGUUUUGAAGACUUGGCCCCAGUCACUGGAUGUAGUUCAGGCCCAGCGUCUGUUGAUACAGCACUAUCUAAAAAGAAAGGCAAAUAUUAUUGACAAAUACACAAAUCCAGUACCAUCUGGACUUGGGAGACUUAUAACUCAGUGGUUUUUACUUCUCCAUGUAAGGGUUCAUCUAAGAACUGUCCAAACUUGCAAGUAACUGACAAUGAAAUUCAUCUGGGCACAUAAUGCAUUUUCAGCUGCUCAAUUAGCUCAAUUUCAGGUGUGCAUAAAUCCAUUAACAAACUAUGAAUACUUUUUUCAAUAACUGUCAGAAACACCACUUUCAUUUACUCAUCUGUGUCCUUUAAACCAUUUGCUUCAAAAUAUUGUUUGUUCCUUUCCAGAUAGGCAUCAAAUUGUUCCUCACUUUCAUUGAAGUGGAAAUCCUCAGGCUUUCCAAAAGCCAUUGUACAAGGGCCUUCUUGUUGUUACCCUUUCUGUUCACAGGCCUCAGAGUUACUCAUACUCAUAACGUUUCUGUACAGUAAAACAUCUCAUCUUCAUCCCCAAAAUUACUGUGCUGUCCAGAGGCAGUCAUGGUUUGUUUAGAGGUUUUACUGAAACACGGCACAGGAACAAAUGGUGGAAAAAUAAAAAGGUUUGCUUUAGAACUAUAACCCGCAUUAAACUUGUAAUCCUAAAGUGCAACGAGAUUGUAUCAGCUCUCUACCCCAUGCAUGUUCAACAGCCAAUCACAGGCUUUCAACAUUAUAGACAGCCAGUUACAGCUUGGAAAUUCCCUAAAACUAACAUAGCAUUCUUGUGAUCUAAACACCAAAACGCUCUUGGUAAACAAGCAAGACCCUUCGUCUUAUCUACCGAAAUGACACAGACUAAUGGUUACUUAGUCUGUGUAAUCCGGGUCAAUACAGAAAAAUUCCCAUCUCAUUUUCUCCUCCAACUUCAAAAUCCCUCUACAUCACUGUAGAAGUAUUGACCCAGUGUUUACAAAGUGAACAUGCAGUGAAGAACAAAUGCCAUUUACAAAAAAGGUAAAACCGAGAAAAUGACAUCGAAGUUUUUUGACAUACCCUAACUGUAUUGACCCGGAUUACACAGAAUACCCAUGCACAUCACAGAGCUAGACAAUUAUUCCAUUAUAUGGAGAAAAAUCCUGAAAUGUUUUCCUCAAGAAACAUAAUUUCUUUACAACUGAAGAAAGAAAGACAUGAACAUCUUGGAUGAAAAGGGGGUGAGUAAAUUAUCAGUGUUCUGGAAGUAAACUUCUCCUUUAAGCCCAGGGGCCCUUAGACCACUAAGUGAAUACAAACUACGGUGCUGGUGCUGACGCAGUAUCAUGUGCUUUCUGGGCUGCCCUAAAGCUAAAGUUCAGAGGCAGGCUAAUGUCACACAUACAAAUACUUGAACAAUGAUGAGAUGAUGAAUCAUUGAAGGCAAUGAGACAUACAAAAAUAAUCUAGCACAGUUCAAGCACAGUUCAUUUUGUUCAUUGGGGUAGACCAGUGUGAGACUAUGUUUCACCUAAGAACUGCUUUGUUGUACUCAAACUUGAAUCUGUACCUAAAAGAAAACUCCACUUCCAGACCACCAAUUUACAAAUAAUUUACUCACCCCCUUGUCAUCCACAAUGUUCAUGUCUUUCUUUCUUCAGUCUUAUGGAAAUUAUGUUUUUUGAGGAAAACAUUUCAACAUUUUUCCCCAUUUAAUAGAUUGCUAUGUUGCCCCAAAUUUGAACUUCCAAAAGGCAGUUUAAAUGCAACUUCAAACGAUCCCAAAUGCGGUUGUAAACUAUCCCAGCGGAGGAAGAAGGGUCUUAUCUAGCGAAACAAUUGGUUAUUUACAUUUAAAAAAAUACCAUUUAAAUAUCCUCCCUCCAUUCCCAUAAGUAAUGUUAUUUCUUAUUUAGGAAUUAAAAUAUAUGCAAAGUUAUCAGAAAUUAUUCAUAAAAAUUAUAGAGAAAUCUCUAAAAAGGUGACAGAAGAUUUACAGCAUUGGAAUACUCUCCCAAUGUCUUUACAAGGAAGAAUUUCCAUUGUUAAGAUGAACAUUCUUCCUCAUGUCAAUUUCUUGUUUUUCAUGAUUCCAAUGUCUCCUCCACCUAAGUUUCUUGAGGAAACCCAAUCUUUGAUCUCCAAAUUCAUAUGGAGCAAUAAAUGAGCUAUAAUUAAGUCUUCCACAUUGCAGCAUCCUAAACUGACGGGAGGGUUGUCUAUCCCUAACUUAAAACUAUAUUAUUGGGCAUUCCAAUUAAGAGCUUUGAGGGUCUGGAUGGACAAGAAUUGUAAGGUGCCAUGGAGACUGCACUGGCACAGCCUAAUAGGCUUCAAGAUCUUCCAUAUACAGAUUUAAAAGGUAAAAAACUUAAAGUUAAAUUUGGCACUAUAAUUGCAAAUUGUCUGGCAGUAUGGAAAAAAGCAGAGAAGAUGUUUGAAACAGUACCUAAAUUUUAUGAACUUUCCGCCCUAUGGAAUAAUAUUAAUAUACUGACAGGAAAAAAAAAACCUUUCACAUGGCCACUUUGGGCCUCUAAGGGAAUUUGCACACUGGGUUUAUAUGCAUUUCAUAAUUUACAGACUUUUUUUGACAUACCUGGUUACUCUUGUUUUCUUUAUUUGAGAUUGAGAUCAGGCAUGAAGGCUUAUGGAGUUCCAUGGAACACAUCACUACAUUCACACCCAAUGGCAAGAUUGUUUGAUCCUGCAAAAGAGUCUAGACGUCUGGUUUCACAAAUUUAUAACACUCUUUUAAAAACACAGUGUAAAAAGGGAUUUAGAAUAGGCUGGACUUCGUCCUGAUUGGCUUAUGGUAUGAUCAAAUAUGAGUGAAACAUCUCGAAAUUGGAGUCACCAAUUUAUUCAUUUUAAAACCAUCCAUAGGGCUUAGUCGACGCCAUAUAGACGAUACAGAAUGGGAUUAACGUCUGAUCCUAACUGCACUGUAUGUCGAACUCUGUUGUUGGUACAAUGUAUCAUAUGUUUUGGGAAUGUUCAGUAAUCAAUCAUUUUUGGAUUCAAGUUUGUCGGGACAGAUUAACUCCGGAUCCUUGCCUGUGCUUGCUGAAUUACGACUCUUCUUCGAACCUUGGCACAAUGGCCAAAAGGAUUAUUUUUUCAGGUUUCACUGCAGCAAAGAAAACAAUAAUUGAAGAGUUCAGAUGCAAAACCGGCUAAAAGCCAUGUCGGUCAAAAAUGAGAUAAUGAUACUGAGUGAAUGCUCUUGACACAUAUUAUACAUCGAUCAAAUACUUUUCUUCAAAUUCGCUGAAAUACCAGCCUCAGUCCAAUCAGAAAGACCAGUACUUACAUAGAAACCUAUACAUCUGAGCCUGAUAAAAAUGCAUUUUUUAAAGAAAGACGUCAGAUGGAUUUAGCUGGUUUUGCAUCUGAACUCUUCAGUUGCACUUUGGUGGGACACCAAGGCAGACACUUCUAGACUGUGGUUAUCGAAUAUGCAACAUAUAAUUAAUAUGGAAUGCUCUUUAGCUAAACUUAAUAAAGCCAAACCAAGAACAGUGCAGGCCUGGCAAAGAGUUGUAGAGUCUAUUUGUGACCGGUUCAUUGGGUAGUAAGAUGUAUAUCUUUAGAAUUGUGAAGUACUCAUAUCUAGGGUAUUACUAUGUCAUGUAAGUAUUCAUUGUGUUCACUGUUUUGUUCACUGGUUUUAUUUUGUAUGUUGUUCUUUUGAAAAUCUAAUAAAAAGAUAAUCAAAAAAAGAAAAAAAAACAUUUAAAUACGUUUUAUUCUCAAACGCUCGUCUUGCCUUGCAGUCCUUGAACUCUGUGUACUCUUGCUCAAGAUAGUUAGGGUAGAGAAAAACUCGUAUUUUCUUACUAAACUUCAAAAAUCAUUGAGGGAGAACAUGAGAUGGGAGUUUUCGACAUACCCUAACUGUCAUGAACAGGAACAAAAACAGUCCAGGCAGAGUAAGACAAGUUGAGCGUCUGGCAUUAAAAAGUAUACAAAUUGUAUUAUUUUUAUUAAAAUCUUCCUCGGCUGUUUACAACUGGAUUUGGGAUC